CUUUAACUUUGAUUUUCUCGGCUUAGACAACGUUUAUUUUUAAAAUUACUUCGCCAAUGAACUCAUAAGAUGAGUCGUUUUUUAAGUCAUUUACAACAUUCGCGUCCGUGUUGUAUCGGAUAUACAAACUCUCGCCUUCGGCUCGAGUUUGUAUAUCCGAUACAACACGGCCGCUCAUGUUGUAAAUAGUACUUAUAACACU